GCGAGAAGGGACAAGUGCGGCCCGGAGGCGAUCUGUGCGCGAGGAGGCGCUGUGAAGACUGAGGCACAGCCCCUCCGAGGAAAGCCGAGAUUGUACGUUUCCUUGCCGGCUGAGCCGCGGCUCGUCCCCCGGAGCGACACAAAGAAGAAGUGGCCUUGCAUCCUGCUCCGCCUCCCGAGCCGGGUCCUUGGUCCCCGGAAGCCCUGGGCUGCCCCACUGGAGUUACCUUCUGUGCGUUCUCUCCUAAACCUACACGUUAUUCACGACUUUGUUCAUGACUAUGGAAAACAAAACAAAAACAAAAACCAAACCAAAGUUCCCUCGCCUGGCGAUGGUGCAAGCCUGUCUACCUGCUGGAGGAUGGUUGGAAUGUGCACACCUGGCUCGACCAAAAGAGGCACAGCUUAGGGGCGGCUUGGACCCAGCUCAAGUCUGGACUUGGCAGCUUUCCUGAGCCUGCCUAGGAAAGCAGGCUGGAGUGCAGGUGUCCCAGGGCUCUCUGGAGGAGCAGCAGCAACACCAUGCCUGGCUCUGGUGCCUUGGUCUCCUCGGAGAGGACGCUUGAAGGAAUGGCACUCAGCAGAGUACAGGCCCCGUAACAGUGCAGCGCAGCGACAUCCGCUGAGGACUGGACAGAAUGGUCCUGAUGCUUGGCAGUGAUCCGUACUUGGAUAACCCUCUGCAUGAAAGGGCAGUGAGCCAGGAACCUCAAGCCACCCGGGAGCAGGUGCCUACUUGGCGUUUUCUGAGACGAAAGGCAGCGGAGUGUGUAGCAAAGGUGGCGCUGGCUCUUGCUGCUUCUGAAGCUCCAUCUCGGCAGCCCUCUGCAGCGCCACCUCCACCAGCAACUGGAAGCUGCUGAAGUCAUCCUUGUCCUGCUCUGGGGGUGUGGGUGGUGGCGUAUUGAAGAGUCCACCCGUGGGGCUUCCAGCCUCUGCCCUAGUCAGCAGGGUGAGUGUGCUAGCAGGGGUCACCAGGGCCUUGGGGGAUUCCAGCUCCACUUGUGGGAAGGGUGCUGCUGGCUUUUCACCUUGGCCUGAGUGGAGUGGCAUGGAGCACACAGACAAGGAGAGCAUGUUAGUGGGGGCUGGAACAGACACAGCCAGCAGAGAGGGGCUGCUGCCCCUGGGGAGAGCCACAUCAGAGGCCUUACCCCCACGACGGGAGAUGGUGAACUGAUUAGGGUCUUUGCCAUCCUUCCGAAGCAUGUCAGGGAGAAGGCGACGACGGGCAUUGAUGAACCAGUUACAUAUCUAGAAAGAGUGUUAAAGAUAUUUAUCAGUUAACGACAUUCAAAAGACCUACAAAAUGCUCAUAGUGUUCCAGACACCAAGACAGAAGCAAACAUCUCAGACAAGAUGCCGGCCAGUGGAAGGGUGGAGGGAAUAGUUUUCAAUUGAAAUCUUAAGAGACAGAGGCAGAUGUACCUAUUUCUAUGAGUUCAAGGCCAGCCUGGUCUAAAUAGGAGUUCUGUGAAAGCCAAGGCUAGACAGUGAGGUCACACUUGCAAAGUGGCUGGAGAGUCCCUAUGAGAAGGCUGAAGGCAGACAUGUGUGGCUUGGCGCAGUGUGGUUAUCAGAGGUCACCUCUUAGGAUGAGGAUUUAGUUUUACUAUGAACACAGGGAGCCAUACAAGUUACUGAUUUUUAUGUUAUUCUUUUUUUUUUUUUUUUUUUUUUUUUUUGAGACAGGGUCACUGUAAAGCUCUGGCUGUUCUGGAACUCACUAUGUAGACCAAGGUGGCCUCAAAUGCUUCUUCUCCCUGAUUCCCAGGAUUAAAGCCACCAUGCUUGGGCUGGAGAGAUGGCUCACUGAUGUAAGAGCACUGAUUGCUCUUCCAGAGGUCCUGAGUUCAAAUCCCAGCAACCACGUGGUGGCUCACAACCAUCUAUAAAAAGGAUCUGAUGCCCUCUUCUGGUGUCUGAAGACAGCUACAGUGUACUCAUAUAAAUAAAAUAAAACUUAAAAAAUAAAAAA
rnacentral:lncRNA from 1 species